GAUGAACGCUGGCGGCGUGCUUAACACAUGCAAGUCGAACGAUGAAGCCCAGCUUGCUGGGUGGAUUAGUGGCGAACGGGUGAGUAACACGUGAGUAACCUGCCCUUAACUCUGGGAUAAGCCUGGGAAACUGGGUCUAAUACCGGAUAGGAGCGUCCACCGCAUGGUGGGUGUUGGAAAGAUUUAUCGGUUUUGGAUGGACUCGCGGCCUAUCAGCUUGUUGGUGAGGUAAUGGCUCACCAAGGCGACGACGGGUAGCCGGCCUGAGAGGGUGACCGGCAACACUGGGAAUGAGACACGGACCAGACUCCUACGGGAGGAAGCAGUGGGGAAUAUUGCAAAAUGGGCGCAAGCCUGAUGCAGCGACGCCGCGUGAGGGAUGACGGCCUUCGGGUUGUAAACCUCUUGCAGUAGGGAAGAAGCGAAAGUGACGGUACCUGCAGAAGAAGCACCGGCUAACUACGUG
rnacentral:rRNA from 1 species